GAUGAACGCUGGCGGCGUGCCUAAUACAUGCAAGUCGAGCGAACGGACGAGAAGCUUGCUUCUCUGAUGUUAGCGGCGGACGGGUGAGUAACACGUGGAUAACCUACCUAUAAGACUGGGAUAACUUCGGGAAACCGGAGCUAAUACCGGAUGAUAUUUUGAACCGCAUGGUUCAAAAGUGAAAGACGGUCUUGCUGUCACUUAUAGAUGGGUCCGCGCUGCAUUAGCUAGUUGGUAAGGUAACGGCUUACCAAGGCAACGAUGCAUAGCCGACCUGAGAGGGUGAUCGGCCACACUGGAACUGAGACACGGUCCAGACUCCUACGGGAGGCAGCAGUAGGGAAUCUUCCGCAAUGGGCGAAAGCCUGACGGAGCAACGCCGCGUGAGUGAUGAAGGUCUUCGGAUCGUAAAACUCUGUUAUUAGGGAAGAACAUAUGUGUAAGUAACUGUGCACAUCUUGUCGGUACCUAAUCAGAAAGCCACGGCUAACUACGUG
rnacentral:rRNA from 1 species